rnacentral:rRNA from 1 species
AAGCGGUGGAUGAUGUGGUUUAAUUCGAUGCAACGCGAAAAACCUUACCUACCCUUGACAUGCCAGGAACCCUGCAGAGAUGUGGGGGYGCUCGCAAGAGAGCCUGGACACAGGUGCUGCAUGGC